rnacentral:lncRNA from 1 species
ACCGCAAUGGCAGCCACGAAUCCAACCAUGGCUAGUCUCCCGUUGAUCCUCUCGGGCGCUGGACCGCUGAAUGCAAGCAAAUCUCCAAACUUGGUACUCACCUAAACAAGAAAACAAAUCAUUCAACCUCACAAAUCUUUUAUCUAUCACUAUCAACAACAUGUAGUAUUGGAUCUCAUAUAGUUAUAUACCUUAGGCUUGCUGACUGGUGGAGGAGGAGAUGGUGGCAUCUGCGGUUGAGCGGCCGAGGUCGAGGGCACGGAAGGAUCUUCCUUGAUAGGAUCACCCUGAGCCAUGCACCUGAAUCCAACAGGAGCAUUCCUCUUGAAGAAGAGUUGGUUUGUGUUUCUGAUGUUGCGUGAACUCAAUCCACCGGAAGGAGCAGCGAACACUGACUGCAUGUUAAGCGACGCCGUUGCCAUUUCUGAUGACUAGGGUUUUUGAAAAUGCUAAAGAUCGAACUUGAAAUAUAAUAAGAGAAGUGAAUAAACAAUGAGACUUGAGAAGUGAGAUGGAGUUUGGUUUGUGGUGUAACUGCAAAGAUCAUCUCUGUACUUAUAGAGUAGGUGAAAUGUGAAUGAUAGGUCCUGUAUUUUUCUUAUUUUUUUUUAUGUAUUUCUUUCUUUAUCUUUAUUGAUUUAUGGGAAACUUUAGAUUUCUUAUUUUACUUUUGGGUUUGUGGUGGUGUAGUAUAGAGUAAAAAGUAAUAAAGUAAUAAGUAGAAACAAAUCUAAAUUGCAAAGUUUACUCUUUUGGGAAGCAAAAGAUUCCUUAGUCAAAAUGUUUUCAAACUUGUGAGAUUUUUUUCCAUCUUUAUUGUAACAACAAAAUCAUUGGUCAAUGUUUCUUUGUAAAACGAAUGUAGAAUUAAAUUAUAAUAAAAUAAAUUAAACUAUUUCAACUGUGACAAAAAAAAGUUACUAUAUCAUGAAUUUAAGUUGAACGUUACACACAAAAACACGUAGUAGCCAAGAAAUUUGAGGUGAGAUCUCAAAAGAGCCACGUCUAGUUGAAAAAGUGCAAGUAAAACUGAUGACGUGGGUUCUUUCAUCACACAUCUUCCUUGUCUUUUUUUCUGAUUGGCCAUUGCCAAGUGGGUUUGGUAAAAACACGUUAGAAAAGAUUUGUCUCAAAAAUAUUAGAAAACAAAGCUAACGGCUUACGAUGUUUCAUUCAGUCGGGCGAGAUUUUGUUUCUGGUAGAGAGAAGUCGUACGUGGUCGAUUUCAGUUUCGUAUUGGAACUUACUUGACUUCGUUAUGGCAAAGACCCAUGCUGACUCCUUUUGAUAUUUUCUGUUCAAUUCAUGGCUGCGUACGUGCCCUAUUCUCCGACGUUUCCCUAUAUUACUCAUUACUUAGACACAACAAUAAACCUCAUUUAAAGCAAACGCUUUGUUCUCUACUCUCUCUCUCUCGGCUUAGAAGAGACAUCUCUUAGUAAAUCUUAGCUUAAAAGAUGGCUAGGAGACUACUAAUAACGGUGGUCUUAGGUGUUUGCUGAAAGAUUAUUUACACUGAUAUCUCAAGUUUUGGUUGUUAAAUUAAAAUGUUCCCAAAAUUUCAGUUUUUAUCCUUCUUAAUGAAUUGAUUCUGUUAUCAAAGUGCAAGAUUGCUCGUCCCAAUGUUAGUACGGUGGAGUUUUAUUCUCCUUCUGUAAUUAAUAAAUGAGUACAUUAUUAUGGAAUUGUCAAAGGGUGGGAGCUAAGUUAACGGACGCGUCUUCUACUGAUUAAAAUGUGUUGAAAGUACUCACCAGAUUUUUCUUUUUAUCCAAAACUAAAGACAUAUGUUGUAUUUGCAAGUUUAACUAUGUUUUAAUAACUUCCAACCCCAAUGACACUAGUGGGUAUCUGGCAUUGUUGUAUUCUUCAUAUUAUCCAUCCAAAUUUCUAUUGGUAGAUGACCGGUUGAUCGAUAUCGAGACUAUUAUUAAAGAAUAAUUAUCAAGUUUUUGAUGCAAUUCUCACUAUUAAAAAUAAAAUAAAAAUAUAAUAAGAAAAAAAUGAGAUCAGUUUCUCAGUUUUCAAGAUAUCCAUUUGACUCUUAUCAUUUUUUCAUUGGCUUAUAUUUUUCUUUUAAUUUAAAAAUAAAAUAAAAAAGUAAUUAGAAUUAAUAAAAUAUUAUAUUUAAGAAACCCAGUAAAGUCGUUCUAUCCGAUAGAAAAGCUCUUGAUUUUACAUCUCAAGAGGUCUCUACUAAAACUAAUAUUCUAGACCCAAUCAACAAAGCAAAAAAGGUUAAUUUUGUGCUUAUGGCGAGGUUUUAGGACAAGAGGUUAAUUUUUUCCAAAUCACCCAUCAUGUUUGGAAAUGAAGUCUCAUGAUCUCAUCGGCUCCAAGACAAUAAAUAAAAACAACUAUGGGGAUUAGGCAAGAACGAGGAAUAUGAAAUUACUUAGGCCUCCCUGAGAACAUUCACGAAUUAAAAACCUAAGUUUUUGCAUUUGUGAGGGAUAGAUUUCAAAAGAAGGUUAACUCUUGGUCCUCGAAAGUCCUUUCUAAAGGAGGGAAACAAGUCUUAUCAAAAAUUGAGGCUCAAGCUGUUUUGACAUAUGUAAUGGUGUGCUUUCUCAUAUCUAAGGUUAUAAGCUCCAAGUUAAGUAGAGUAAUUGCCAUGGUGGAACAACAAAGUAGAUAGUAGAGGAAUGCAUUAGAUAUCUUAGGAUCGGAUGCAUAUGUCACUAUCUGGGGAGGUCUCGACUUUCAAUCCUUAGAGGAUUUCAAUCUCGCACUAUUGGGUGAAGCAAUUAUGAAUCCUUGCUUAAUCGCACUAUUGUAUUAGCCUAAGUCUUAGCUUUGGGUCCGUCUCAGUAUUAUCGAACAAAUAAACUAAUAAAAUUUGGAAUACUUACAAAUAUUUGAAACAUCAUAAUAAAUGUCAAACUGUGCGUUACAUAUCAUUCUCCAAAUAUGAUUUAAUUUCCCUUAAGCUAUAGCAAAAAAAAGAAAAAAAAAAAAAAGCCUUAGACGAGAGUGCCACCGGUGACGUACUCAGUGAAGGCCAACGCAACUAGGCCGAGCAUCGCAAAACGACCGUUCCAUAGCUCAGCGUCUGAUGUCAUGAAGCCCUUUGACUUGGCCUCCGCCCUUAUUCCCUGGAACAAUGGAAUCAUCGAUGCCAUAGUCAGCAACGCCGUCGUUCCAAGAAACCACCCGACGCCACCGUCAGAGAUCUGAGCCAACACGUUCUCUCCCUUGGAAAGCUCCACCGCGAUGGCAGCCACGAAUCCAACCAUGGCUAGUCUCCCGUUGAUCCUCUCGGGCGCUGGACCGCUGAAUGCAAGCAAGUCUCUAAACUUCGUACUCACCUAAACAAGAAAACAAACCAUUCAGCUCACAAAUCUUUUAUCUAUCAAGAACAUGUAUAUUGGAUCUCAUAUAGUUAUAUACCUUAGGCUUGCUAACUGGAGGAGGAGAUGGUGGCAUUUGUGGUUGAGUGGCCGAGGUCGAGGUCGAGGGCACGGAAGGAUCUUCCUUGAUAGGACCACCCUGAGCCAUGCACCUGACUCCAACCGGAGCAUUCCUCUUGAAGAAGAUUUGGUUUGUGUUUCUGAUGUUGCGUGAACUCAAUCCACCGGAAGGAGCAGCGAACACUGACUGCAUGUUAAGCGACGCCGUUGCCAUUUCUGAUGACUAGGGUUUUUCAAACGCCGAAGAUUGAAGAGAUAGAGAGAGAGAGCUGACUAAAUUUUUAAGACUUGAGAAGUGAGAUCGAGUUGGUUUGUGGUGUAACUGCAAAGACCAUCUCUUUAUUUAUAGAGUAGGUGAAAUGUGAAUGAUAGGUCCAGUUUUUUUUUCUGAAAUUUUAUGUGUUUAAUUUCUUUAUCUUUAUUGAUUUAUAGGAAAGUAAAGAUUACUUUAUCUUAAUAUCUACGUUUGUGGUGUAUAGUAUAGAGUAAUAGUAGAAACAAAUCUAAAAAGAUAAAAGAAAAAAAAACUAAUUAGCAAACUUGUACUCUUUUGGGAAGAAUAAAUUUGAGUUGAACGCUAAACACAAAGACACGUACGUAGUAACCCAAAGAAACUUUUUAAAACGAGAGAGUGAGGUGAGAUCUCAAAGGAGCCACGUCUAGUUGAAAAAGUGCAAGUAAAGUGAUGACGUGGGUUCUUAAUUUCACCACACACAGAGACACAUCUUCCUUGUCUAAAUCUGAUUGGCCAAGGUCAAGUGGGUUUAGUAAAAACACGUAAAAAAAAACGAAGAUUUGUCUCAAAAUAUUAGCAAACAAAGCUAACGGCUCACAAUGUUUCAUUCAGUCGGGAGACUUUUGUUUCUGGUUAAGAGAAGUUGUGGUCGAUCUCAGUUUCGUAUUGGAACUUACUUAACUUUAUUCAUGGCAGACCUAGGCUGACUCCUUUUGAUCCUUUCUGUGGAUUCCAUUCAUGGCUGCGUACGUGCCCUAUUCUCCUAUACGUACCCUUAUAUAAUUACGCAUUUGGAACGGUUAAUAAAGAAUAGAGGAUACUCGUUUUUUUACAUCAAUAUAUGUGGACAUUUUUUGCUAAAAAAAUCUUAGUACAUACACCUUUUGCAUAUGAUUUUUCUUCUUUUCUCCCAUGAGCAUUGGAGAUUUUUUUUCCUUCUUUUCUUUCUCUAAAAUACUGAAUUUACGUCUCAAGAAGUUUUCUUCAUAAUUAAUAUCCGAGACUAAAUUAGCAUGUGUUGCAGGAAUUUAUUACAGAUAAUAUCCUAAUUGCUCCAAAAAAAAAAUUCAUGAGUAAGAAACGAAUAUGAAUAAGCCAUAGGAUCAAGUGGAAUUGGUCCUUUCUCCACUCUCUAAUGGAAAAUAUGGGUUUUGAUUAUCGACGGGUGGGAUGGAUCAUGUAGUGUAUUACUUCGUGUCUUAACUAAGAGAUACCUGAAAUAACGUAUUAGACUUUUUAGAGGAAUUUGUCGAGGAGACUCUAUCUCUUCCUGCUAUUUUAUUUUUGUAAGGACGGACUAAUUGCUCAAUUUAAACGAGCAAAGACGAAUGGUAAAAUCCGAGAACUGCACAUUUUGUGUGCAAGUUCACGAGUGUCACACUUACUCUUUGUUGAUGAUAGUCUGUUUUAUGUAUAGUACAUAAACAAAUUAAAGAGGUGACUGAUAUAAUCCAUGCUUAUGCUGAGGUCUCAUGACAAGAGAUUAAUAUUUCCAAAACAACCAUCAUGUUUGGAAAUGAAGUCUCUCCCUAAGACAAGUAAUAAAAACAAUUGUGGGGAUUAUAUAUGCAACAAGGAGGAAUCUGAACUUACUUAGGGUUCCCCGAGAAGAUUCAUGGAUCAAAAACCCAAGUUUUUGCAUUUGUGAGAGAUAAACGUAAAAAAAGUCGUCUUGUUUAAGUCUCAAGCUUAAACUCUUCCGAUAUACGUAAUGGCAUGCUUUCUCCUAUCUAAGGCUAUAAACUCCAAGAUUUGUAGUACAAUUGUGACAUACCGAAUGCGUGUUGAACCGCUAUUUUGUCUCUACGUAAACAAUAUUCCCACCUCUUGGCUCAAUUGAGUCCAUUUAUAAAAGCUGUUGACAAAAAAAAAAUAGUAGUACAAUUGCCAACUUUUGAUGGAGCAACAAAGCAUAUAGUAGAUAUGUUGGAAUUCGAUGUGUAUGUCACUAUGUGAGGGAGGUCUUGGCUUUCAAUCCCAGAGGAUAUCAACUGGCACUAUUUGGCGAAACAAUUUUGGCGCCUAAUCGCAUUCCGGGAAUCCUUGCUUUAUCGCACUAUUGUAUAUUUGUAUUAGCCUAGUUCUCGGUUUUGCGUCUGUCUCAGUUCUUGUUUUUAUCGAACCAAUAAAUCAAUUUAUGCGUUCAUGUCGACACUUCAGAGCUUUUAAAAAUCAUAUUAAAUAUUAAAAACUAUGAUACGUUACAUAUCAAUAUUCAACUAAAAAAUCAGUAUCCAAAUAUGAUUUAAUUUCCCUUAUGCUAUAGCAAAAACAAAGCCUUAGACGAGAGUCCCACCGGUGACAUACUCAGUGAAGGCCAACGCAACUAGGCCGAGCAUCGCGAAACGACCGUUCCAUAGCUCGGCGUCUGACGUCAUGAACCCCUUUGACUUGGCCUCCGCUCUUAUUCCCUGGAACAAUGGAACCAUCGAUGCCAACGUCAGCAACGCCGUUGUUCCAAUAAACCACCCGACGCCACCGUCAGAGAUCUGAGCCAACACGUUCUCUCCCUUGGAAAGCUCCACAGCAAUGGCAGCCACGAAUCCAACCAUGGCUAGUCUCCCGUUGAUCCUCUCGGGCGCUGGACCGCUGAAUGCUAGUAAAUCUCCAAACUUCGUACUCACCUAAACAAGAAAACAAAUCAUUCAACUCUCAAAUCUUUUAAACACUUCGACCGUUAGAUCAUUAUAUAUAUAUNNNNNNNNNNNNNNNNNNNNNNNNNNNNNNNNNNNNNNNNNNNNNNNNNNNNNNNNNNNNNNNNNNNNNNNNNNNNNNNNNNNNNNNNNNNNNNNNNNNNNNNNNNNNNNNNNNNNNNNNNNNNNNNNNNNNNNNNNNNNNNNNNNNNNNNNNNNNNNNNNNNNNNNNNNNNNNNNNNNNNNNNNNNNNNNNNNNNNNNNNNNNNNNNNNNNNNNNNNNNNNNNNNNNNNNNNNNNNNNNNNNNNNNNNNNNNNNNNNNNNNNNNNNNNNNNNNNNNNNNNNNNNNNNNNNNNNNNNNNNNNNNNNNNCUACUACUACUACUACUACUAACUUAACUUAACUUACGUACGUACGUAUAUAUAUAUAUAUAUAUAUAUAUAUAUAUAUAUAUAUAUAUAUAUAUAUAGUUAUAUACCUUAGGCUUGCUAACUGGAGGAGGAGACGGUGGCAUUUGCGGUUGAGCGGCUGAGGUCGAGGUCGAGGGCACGGAAGGAUCUUCCUUGAUAGGAUCACCCUGAGCCAUGCACCUAACUACAACAGGAGCAUUCCUCUUGAAGAAGAUUUGGUUUGUG